GGGGGAAAGAAAACGAAAGAAGAAGAAGGAGAAGAGGAAAUUGAUGGGAAAAUAAGGAUAAGGUGAAGAAAGAGGAAGAUUCAUAAAGAAUUUCCAGCAUCAGUUUUGGAUCUACUCAAAUUUAUUUUAUGUUAGGUAUAACAGAUUUUCAGUUGCUCUGCCUGCGUAAUAUUUCACGUCAGACAUGACAGAUGUUAGUUGCUCUGCCUGCGCAAUAUUUUAUGCCAGGUAUGACAGAUUUUUAGUUACUCUGCCUGUAUAGUAUUUUACCCCAAGCAUGAGAGAUUUCAAUCGUUCUACCCAAGUGAGAUUCAGCAUGUCAGAUAUGACAGUUCUUUCUCGCUCUGCUUGUGUUGGGGACAUCCACCGGGUAUGACAGAUUUCUUCUUGAGAAUAUUAGUAGUGAUGUACAACUUAAGUUAUUGUAUUAGUGAGAGGUUCAGAACUAAAUAAAGAAAAUAAAAAUAUAAGUUGUUGACAACCAGAUCUUGUUUUUAAAGAUGAUAUUUCCUAAGCAUAAUUUUA